GUUGAACGCUGGCGGCGUGCUUAACACAUGCAAGUCGAACGGAAAGGCUCCUGCUUGCAGGGGUACUCGAGUGGCGAACGUGUGAGUAACACGUGGGUGAUCUUCCCUGCACUUCGUGAUAUGCUUGGGAAACUGCUUCUAAUACCUGCUAGGACCGCAUUUUGGAUGGUGUGGUGGAUAGUUUUUGCGGUGUGGGAUGCGUUCGUGGCCUAUCAGCUUGUUUGUGGGGUAGUGGCCUACCAAGGCGUCGACGGGUAGCCGGCCUGAGAGGGGUUACGGCCACAUUGGGACUGAGAGACGGCCCAGACUCCUACGGGAGGCAGCAGGGGAGAAUAUUGCACAAUGAGGGCAAGCCUGAUGAAGCGACGCCGGGUGGGGGAUGAAGGCCUUCGGGUGGUAAACUCCUGUAGCUAGGGACGAAGAGUAAUUGACGGUACCUGGAGAAGAAGCACCGGCUAACUACGUG
rnacentral:rRNA from 1 species